rnacentral:rRNA from 1 species
GAUCAUGGCUCAGGAUGAACGCUGGCGGCGUGCCUAACACAUGCAAGUCGAACGAAACACCUUUUGAGAUUCUUUGGAUGAUUGAUUGGUGACUGAGUGGCGGACGGGUGAGUAACGCGUGGGUAACCUGCCCUGUACAGGGGGAUAACAGCUGGAAACGGCUGCUAAUACCGCAUAAGCGCACGAGGAGACAUCUCCUUGUGUGAAAAACUCCGGUGGUACAGGAUGGGCCCGCGU